rnacentral:rRNA from 1 species
AACGCUGGCGGCGUGCCUAAUACAUGCAAGUCGAACGCACAGCGAAAGGUGCUUGCACCUUUCAAGUGAGUGGCGAACGGGUGAGUAACACGUGGACAACCUGCCUCAAGGCUGGGGAUAACAUUUGGAAACAGAUGCUAAUACCGAAUAAAACUUAGUGUCGCAUGACACAAAGUUAAAAGGCGCUUCGGCGUCACCUAGAGAUGGAUCCGCGGUGCAUUAGUUAGUUGGUGGGGUAAAGGCCUACCAAGACAAUGAUGCAUAGCCGAGUUGAGAGACUGAUCGGCCACAUUGGGACUGAGACACGGCCCAAACUCCUACGGGAGGCUGCAGUAGGGAAUCUUCCACAAUGGGCGAAAGCCUGAUGGAGCAACGCCGCGUGUGUGAUGAAGGCUUUCGGGUCGUAAAGCACUGUUGUAUGGGAAGAACAGCUAGAAUAGGAAAUGAUUUUAGUUUGACGGUACCAUACCAGAAAGGGACGGCUAAAUACGUGCCAGCAGCCGCGGUAAUACGUAUGUCCCGAGCGUUAUCCGGAUUUAUUGGGCGUAAAGCGAGCGCAGACGGUUUAUUAAGUCUGAUGUGAAAGCCCGGAGCUCAACUCCGGAAUGGCAUUGGAAACUGGUUAACUUGAGUGCAGUAGAGGUAAGUGGAACUCCAUGUGUAGCGGUGGAAUGCGUAGAUAUAUGGAAGAACACCAGUGGCGAAGGCGGCUUACUGGACUGCAACUGACGUUGAGGCUCGAAAGUGUGGGUAGCAAACAGGAUUAGAUACCCUGGUAGUCCACACCGUAAACGAUGAACACUAGGUGUUAGGAGGUUUCCGCCUCUUAGUGCCGAAGCUAACGCAUUAAGUGUUCCGCCUGGGGAGUACGACCGCAAGGUUGAAACUCAAAGGAAUUGACGGGGACCCGCACAAGCGGUGGAGCAUGUGGUUUAAUUCGAAGCAACGCGAAGAACCUUACCAGGUCUUGACAUCCUUUGAAGCUUUUAUAGAUACAAGUGUUCUCUUCGGAGACAAAGUGACUGGUGGUGCAUGGUCGUCGUCUUCU